UACGGAGGGGGCUAGCGUUGCUCGGAAUUACUGGGCGUAAAGGGCGCGUAGGCGGGUCGUUAAGUUGGGGGUGAAAGCCCAGGGCUCAACCCUGGAAUUGCCUUCAAUACUGGCGACCUUGAGUAUGGCAGAGGUGUGUGGAACUCCGAGUGUAGAGGUGAAAUUCGUAGAUAUUCGGAAGAACACCAGUGGCGAAGGCGACACACUGGGCCAUUACUGACGCUGAGGCGCGAAAGCGUGGGGAGCAAACAGG
rnacentral:rRNA from 1 species